UUAAUGACUAAUAAAAUAUGUUUACAUAAUUAUAUGUAUACAUUGGCUUACUAAAAUAUUGAUUAAAAGAAGCUAAAGUAUCAGUUGCUGAAGAAUCAUAUAAAUAACUAUAGUUAUGUUACGUUCAAUUAUAUUUACGAUAUUUUUUAACUAUGUACAUUAUACAAUUAUCUAAAGACUGAUAUAAAUUUCCACUCACGCAAGAUGAAUUUUAUCAACGAGCUGUAUUAUAUUUUAUAAAAGUAUCAUAAAAGACUUAAUUUGAAAUUUGUGUUAUGACGUUAGCAUAGUAUUAUAAAAACAUAAGACCCGAGUCGAUAAAGUUCACCACGAAACUAAGAAUACGUUACUAACCAGGAAAUUAUAUAAUUGAUCACUAAUCACUCUAAAAGAUACCACACAAUAAAUAAUUUCAUUUUUUUUUUAUCAGGAUUUUUUUAUUUAAUCAUUAUAUUAUAGUCAUUAGGUACUCAUUUUUCACGGUGCACCACAUAAUACAACGUGUCAUCAUGAAAAAGUGUAUAUAAUUGGUGAUAUAAUUGUGUUUAUAUAACCAUUGACUAAUGAUGAUAUACUGAUAAUGUGUAUAAUACAUGCCAUAAUUUAUUGAUGAACAGUGUCACAUAGGUAGGUUCAUAUAAUAGAAAUGGCCAAUAGGCGAUAGUUUUUUCUGGGAGAUUUGGUAUUUCGGGGUCGACAGCCAAAAAUCGAUAAAAUUACAUCACUCGAACCUCGUCUGAAGUAAAUAAAACGUUUGUUUUUACAUUUAGACACACGCGUACACGCACACACAGCACGCACACACAUAAUUAUAUCAAGUGUUUUUGAGAUAUGAUUCUUCAUCAUAAUAAGUGUAUGAGUCGGUCGCGCGCGUUGCCUCAUUCAGUAUAUUAUUAUGACACUAUUUGACAACUGUCUAGAUAAUUCUAUAAUAUUUUACGAGUAUUUUUCCUUUAUUCGUACGUUAAAGCAGUGAUGACAUUCAAUUCAAUCAAACUAUUAAACGCCACACAAAUAUCUCGUAUGUUCGAAAUGUAAUUGUGUAAAAAUGAUAACUACAUCAAAGUAUUUCACGAGUUGUAGCAACGUUACGCUGUUAGUUAUUUUGCAUUUUGGCAUCGUGUCGCUAAGCGGUAACUGUUUAGGAUCGGUCCACGCUGUUGAUCAGUUGAUCGAAAAUCAAGAUCUAACGUUAAAGGGAAUGCAUUUUUCUUACGACAAAUUCAAGAUUCACAACAUAUCAAAUCACGUGAUUUAUUGGCUCUAUACCAGAGAACAGCCCAACGGUCAGCUUUUAAACAGGAGUGAUCCAUCCAUGAUAAAAUCGACAAACUUUAAUGUCAAAAAUCCAAUAAAAAUUCUCGUACAUGGUUGGCUUGGUAGUUUCUAUGAAAAAGAAUGUUUUUGCGCUCACGUAAUGAAAGCUUAUUUACAAGCGGAAUCGUACAACGUGAUUUGCGUGGAUUGGAUGCAAUUAUCUUUUUAUUUAACAUAUGCAUCGGCGAAAAUCAAUGUCAAAUACAUCGGUUACGAUAUAGCUAAAGUUUUAAAAAUUUUAACAAAUAACAUGGAAGUAGGGUCUGAAAAUAUCCACUUGAUAGGUCACGGUUUGGGAGCCCAUAUCGUCGGAUACACUGGGAAAAAGUUGAACGGUCAAAUUCCUCGGAUAACUGGUUUAGAUCCUGCGAUGCCACUUUAUGAAAAUACUGAUCCGAAGUACAGGAUCAAUAAAAACGAUGCGGCCUUUGUAGACAUCAUACAUACAAACGGAAAUAGUUUAGGAUUGUUUAAGUUACUCGGUCAUAUCGAUUUUUACCCAAACGGAGGAAAAGUGCAAUCGAACUGCACAAUAUUAGAUAAAGUUUUAAUAUAGUCGAGAAAGGACGGAGCAAGAGGAGAUUUUGGUAUUUUCAGUUCUAAAAUAUUGUUUUCAUUCAUUUAUUAUCGUCAAAAAUAACACGUAUACUAUUGGAAAUACAUUCUUAGAAUUGUUCAAUAUUCGUUGAUAACAUAUUUUAAAACGAUGUCAAACCGUAACAGUGUAUUAAAGAGCAACGGUAUGUGCAUAUAGCGCUGGCUUUGAUCAAAAUCUCGACAGUUAUCGUUUAAGUGAUUGGCAAAUUUUAAUCGCAAACAGGUUUUAAUACAGUAAUGCUGUAGUAAAAUCACUGAUUAUAUGGAUGUUAGUAUUCGUGAUCAACGGCGGUGUUCAUAAAUAUUUACAGGUGGCGCGUGCAGUCACGCCAAAGCUUUCGAUUAUUUCGCCCACUCGAUAUCAAACAGAGAAGAAUGCAAGGCGCUCCGAUGUAUCAGUUGGAACGCGUACAAAGCGGACAAGUGUGGCGAAUCCG